AGGACGAACGCUGGCGGCGUGCUUAACACAUGCAAGUCGAGCGGAAAGGCCCUUCGGGGUACUCGAGCGGCGAACGGGUGAGUAACACGUGAGCAACCUGCCCCUGGCUCUGGGAUAGCCUCCGGAAAACGGGGAUUAAUACCGGACAUUCACUUCCUUCCGCAUGGUUGGUGGUGGAAAGUUUUUUCGGCCGGGGAGGGGCUCGCGGCCUAUCAGCUUGUUGGCGGGGUAACGGCCCACCAAGGCGACGACGGGUAGCCGGCCUGAGAGGGCGACCGGCCACACUGGGACUGAGACACGGCCCAGACUCCUACGGGAGGCAGCAGUGGGGAAUAUUGCGCAAUGGGCGGAAGCCUGACGCAGCGACGCCGCGUGGGGGAUGAAGGCCUUCGGGUUGUAAACCCCUUUCACCAGGAGCGAAUCCAGACGGUACCUGGGGAAGAAGCGCCGGCUAACUACGCGCCAGCAGCCGC
rnacentral:rRNA from 1 species